CUCGGCUCUUUCCGCGCCUGACCGGCGAAAAGCAGAAGGAAACUAUUAUAUGGAGUGCUGCCUGCACGGAGGAGGAGCUGCGGCUUGUCACCUUCCUCCCUGACGUCAGCCGAGCUGCCCGGCUUGGCUAAUGGCUGCUGGGCAGAGGCGACACCGCCCCUGCAAGGGUGGCACCCGAAGGGAGGGAGGGAGGGAGGGAGGGAGGGAGCACCCGGCGCAAACAAACACGAGCGGGUCCCCCGACCCGUUUCCCAGAAAGCGGGCAAGGAAGCGCGGUCCGAGGUGGCAUCCAAGGAGGGUGGCGCGCAGAGCCGGCUUGGGACUGUUGCUAUUUAAUGAUGGCACUCGACCCAGUCACGUUCUUGUUGAGCGAGGCCGUGGCUGCAAUCCUGAGGACGCUGAGUGAUCGCCGCGGCCGGGGAAGAUGUCACUCCAGUGAUUUCUGAGUAGACCUCUUCAGGACUUUUCCCGCUGUUAGCUGAUAGAGUAUGGGACGCAGAAAAAAAUCUGGGGGUCUCAACAUUUUAGGAAUUUUUGCAUCCCUAUUGCAUAAAGGAAAACAAGUUGGAAGAUUUCCUGUGGGGGAUGGAUUUCUAUUCUCAGAAAGGUGGGGAGAGGACCUCUCUCUCAAAUGCCUUGAUUCAGAACAAGGGGAUGCACAUGUCACCACCUUCAUCUGGCACCACCUUUAUCUGCUGUGUGAACUUUGCCUGAACUAAGUUGGAUAUAAGAGAAGGGUGGCAAGUUAUGCAUCUUUUGGGACUUUUGAGAUAAGGUGACUACAACCAAGGAAACUUUAAAAACCCAAAACAGAAGUAUAUGUCUUUCAUUGGCUUACCAAACAGAAAUCAAAAAGAUUACUAAUAAUA